UCAUGUAAAGACAGAUUCCGUGGAAUGUGAGUAUAAUGCACGAGCAGACGAACUAUCCAAAAUACAAGGAAAGGCACUGCAAGUGAUCCCCACUAAAGGAUGAUGACCUAAUGUUAGGGAAAUGGAUCCACUCUGCUGCAGGACAUCUUGGAGCACUUGCCUCUUACAGUGCCAUCAACCUGGAAGCAAGAAUGCUCACUGGAGACUUCAGAAAGCUGAGCCCCUCCUCCCAGUAAUCAGUUUUCCAAACAGAAGAUUUGAAUUGGGAAAAUGAGGUUUGACUCCAUUCUUUUCCAUCUCUUUGGCCAAAGGCUGGGUUAAGAUCAAUGUGGCAGGCAAUCUUUUAUAUAUUGUUGGAGUUCCACUCCAGUGAAUACCGAGAAUGGGAAGAAUAUCUGAAGCCAGGUGGAAGAUGUGCUUUGCAAUCUCUAUUUAUUAACCUGAGUACCAGUAUUUAUAUACCUUUUAAACUAGUGUUACAGUAUUACCAGCCACCUUCAGGUAACAUCAUGUAUCUUCCAGCACAAUCCAUACUUUGACAUUUCAGUAUCCACCUUAACUAUCAAUA